CCUACGGGAGGCAGCAGUGAGGAAUAUUGGACAAUGGGCGCAAGCCUGAUCCAGCCAUGCCGCGUGCAGGAUGACGGUCCUAUGGAUUGUAAACUGCUUUUAUACAGGAAGAAACACCUCUACGUGUAGAGACUUGACGGUACUGUAAGAAUAAGGAUCGGCUAACUCCGUGCCAGCAGCCGCGGUAAUACGGAGGAUCCAAGCGUUAUCCGGAAUCAUUGGGUUUAAAGGGUCCGUAGGCGGUUUAGUAAGUCAGUGGUGAAAGCCCAUCGCUCAACGGUGGAACGGCCAUUGAUACUGCUAGACUUGAAUUAUUAGGAAGUAACUAGAAUAUGUAGUGUAGCGGUGAAAUGCUUAGAGAUUACAUGGAAUACCAAUUGCGAAGGCAGGUUACUACUAAUUGAUUGACGCUGAUGGACGAAAGCGUGGGUAGCGAACAGGAUUAGAUACCCUGGUAGUCCACGCCGUAAACGAUGGAUACUAGCUGUUGGGCGCAAGUUCAGUGGNGUAGAGAAGAGAUAAGUAAUACCACCUCGGGAGGUACGGAACGACGAGUUAGUAAACGUACGAAUAGUAAGUUAGUACGGCGUGAGACGUUAGCCGACGGACGACGACGAGGGAGGAGGG
rnacentral:rRNA from 1 species